UACGAAGGGGGCGAGCGUUGUUCGGAAUUACUGGGCGUAAAGCGUGCGCAGGCGGUUUGUUAAGUCCGCUGUGAAAGCCCCGGGCUCAACCUGGGAAUGGCAGUGGAAACUAGCGAGCUAGAGUGUGUCAGAGGGGGGUGGAAUUCCACGUGUAGCAGUGAAAUGCGUAGAGAUGUGGAGGAACACCAAUGGCGAAGGCGGCACUCUGGGCCGGUACUGACGCUGAGGAGCGAAAGCGUGGGGAGCGAACAGG
rnacentral:rRNA from 1 species